UUUUUUUAUAGUAAGUUAUAUGAUCUUUAGAAAGACCAUUUAAUGACAAAAAAACGUUAUAUAAUAUGUGUGGGUACGGUAAAUGAGUAAGAUAAAAAUUACAGCUAAACAUAAACACCGCAAAAAAUGUAAAAAGAGCCCUGGUCCUUAACGGUAAGAAAAUUGAAAAAUGGUCUGGUCACUAAGGGGCUAAAUAGAUAUGUAAAAAGUGUCAAAAUACCCUAGGUAUAGAGGCU